UGUGUAGGCGGUUGCUUAAGUUUGGUGUGAAAUCUCCCGGCUCAACUGGGAGGGUGCGCCGAAUACUGAGUGACUCGAGUGCGGGAGAGGAGAGUGGAAUUCCUGGUGUAGCGGUGAAAUGCGUAGAUAUCAGGAGGAACACCGGUGGUGUAGGCGGCUCUCUGGACCGUAACUGACGCUGAGACACGAAAGCGUGGGUAGCAAACAGGAUUAGAUACCCUGGUAGUCCACGCCCUAAACGAUGCAUAUUUGGUGUGGGCAGUUCAGUCUGUCCGUGCCGGAGCUAACGCGUUAAAUAUGCCGCCUGGGGAGUACAGUCGCAAGGCUGAA
rnacentral:rRNA from 1 species